rnacentral:tRNA from 1 species
CACCGGCUGGUUGAUUUCGUGCGCGACGCCGGCGGCGAUCUGGCCGAGGAUGGAAAGCCGGUUGGCCUGGGCGAGAUCGUCGCGCAGCCGGCGG